rnacentral:rRNA from 1 species
CCUACGGGUGGCAGCAGUGAGGAAUAUUGGUCAAUGGACGAAAGUCUGAACCAGCCACGCAGCGUGAAGGAAGACUGCCCUAUGAGUUGUAAACUUCUUUUAUAUGGGAGUAAAAUGUUCCACGUGUGGGAGUUUGUAUGUACCAUAUGAAUACGGAUCGGCUAACUACGUGCCAGCAGCCGCGGUAAUACGGAGGAUCCGAGCGUUAUCCGGAUUUAUUGGGUUUAAAGGGAGCGUAGAUGGGUUGUUAAGUCAGAUGUGAAAGUUUGCGGCUCAACCGGAAAAUUGCAAUUGAUACUGGUAGUCUUGAGUGCAGUUGAGGUAGGCGGAAUUCGUGGUGUAGCGGUGAAAUGCGUAGAUAUUACGAAGAACACCGAUUGCGAAGGCAGCUUACUAAGCUGUAACUGACGUUGAGGCUCGAAAGUGUGGGGAGCAAACAGGAUUAGAUACCCGAGUAGUC